rnacentral:rRNA from 1 species
CCUACGGGAGACAGCAGUGGGGAAUAUUGGGCAAUGGGCGCAAGCCUGACCCAGCAAUGCCGCGUGAAGGAAGAAGGCUUUCGGGUUGUAAACUUCUUUGACAGGGGAAGAGCAGAAGACGGUACCCUGAAAACAAGCCACGGCUAACUACGUGCCAGCAGCCGCGGUAAUACGUAGGUGGCACGCGUUGUCCGGAUUUACUGGGUGUAAAGGGCGUGUAGCCGGGAAGGCAAGUCAGAUGUGAAAUCUGGAGGCUCAACCUCCAAAUUGCAUUUGAAACUGUUUUUCUUGAGUACUGGAGAGGCAGACGGAAUUCCUUGUGUAGCGGUGAAAUGCGUAGAUAUAAGGAGGAACACCAGUGGCGAAGGCGGUCUGCUGGACAGCAACUGACGGUGAGGCGCGAAAGCGUGGGGAGCAAACAGGAUUAGAUACCCCGGUAGUC